AAAAUCAGGCACAAGUAGUCUAAGGUAAUAGAAUUCAGAAUAGUCAGCAUGUGUCUACCCCAUGCAGGCAGGGAACCCAUUGAACAUCAUUCGUGAUGGGUAUCCGGGAUUGCAAUUAUUCCUCAUGGACAAGGAAUUCCCAGUAAGGGUGGGCCAUAAGCUUGCAUUGAUUAAGUCCCUGCUCUU
rnacentral:ncRNA from 1 species